rnacentral:lncRNA from 1 species
GUAUAAAAAUGUGUUUAAAAAAUAUCCACGAUAUAUAUAUAACAAUAGAUAGCAAUUCAUUUUAUUAUUUUAUUUGCAUCAUUUAAUCUUAGACCUUUAGUGAAAACUCUCUCACACUCUCUCUCUCUCUCAGUUCCUCAAGUACUUCCCCUUCCAACAGUUCGGUGUGAGUGUUUGUGUUUGUGUGUGUGUGUGUGUGUGUGUGUGUGUGUGUGUGUGUGUGUGUGUGUGUGUGUGUGUGUGUGUGUGUGUGUGUGUGUGUGUGUGUCUGUGUAUGUGUGUGUGUGUGUGUGUGUGUGUGUGUGUGUGUGUAUGUGCACAUGUCCGCUACCCGUUUUCCCAGAAUACAUGUGACAUGCGCUGAGAGGGGCGGUUCAGCUAAGUUACUUCCUCAUCUGAACCGUCCGUCGCAGCGAGGAGCCUUUCUUCCUCCCCUUUGAAAACCUUUCACAUGAUUAAUGAGUUUCAAAAACACUUUAACCUCAGUUUCUUCCCUUACAUUUAUACUUUUAUAACUUUUUACCGUAUGGGACGGAACGUAUUUUCUCCAGUCUACUAUGGAUGAGGAGAGGGAGGAGGGGGGUCCUACCUCUAAGACCACUCUGUCUGAGGAACAUGGCCGCCAGAGCAAAGCUAAGAGCCCAGAGAAGCAGGAAAGAGCAGACUCCCCUGGACCCAGCUGUGUCUCCAUGAAGAGUGGCUGGUCUAUGGAACAUCCUAAUAGCUUUAAAGAUGGAAAUGAGUUUGUUGAGAAAAGAGUCCAGCAGCAGAGAGCAGACCCCCCUGGACCCAGCUGUGUCUCCAUGAAGAGUGACCGGUCUCUGAGACCUCCUGUUACCUUUAAAGAUGGAAAUCAGUCCAUCGAGAAGAGAAGAGUCCAGCAGCAGCAGAGAGCAGACUCCCCUGGUUCCAGCUGUGUCUCUAUGAAGAGUGGCUGGUCUAUGGAUCCUCCUGCUAAGUUUAAAGAUGGAAAUCAGUAUAUUGAGAAGAGACACCAGGAGAGGUCAAAGGUCACCAGUGCUCAGUCUGUACAGCAGCCUCAAACAGAGCUGGAGAUGAACCAGGAGGAACUGGCUGACACACUGGGGGGCGGUAAGAGACUCUUACUUUGAAGACAGAGGAGACUAUUAUUUUGAAGGGCAAAAGAGAUCUUAUUUUGAAAAAAGAGAAGAAAUUAUAUUUUUAAGUAGCAGUAUCUUUCCUCUGUGGGUUAAAUGGUGUAGGGUUAUUGUGGGGGUAUCAGGUAAAUGGUUUCGUCCAUAUAUGUAGAGUUAUGGUGGGGGUAUCAGGUUAAAGGGUUUGAUCCAGAUAUGUAGGGUUAUUGUGUGGGUAUUAGGUUAAGUGGUUUGAUCCAGAUAUGUAGGGUUAUUGUUAUUGUUGGGUAUCGUUUGGGUUCUAUCAGAUACCGGUGCCAACUCUGUACUUUUCAAACGGUUCCGGUGCUAAAACGGUUCUCGAAUCGGUACUUAAAAAAUCGAAACCGCACACGCUUGCAUACAUGCACGACUUGUUAUGAGUUUCACAUUAAGCAGAAAGUCAGCGGACACUGAGUUGAAUGGCAACGGUGUUUGCUAGCCUACUUGAUAUGCAAGAUUUAUGGUUGGCAUUAAAUUACUCGACUUACCCCAAGAGGAAAGGCUGAUGUGAGUGCUGUGACUAAAGGUGCGGCCACACCAGACGCGUAUCUCGCGUACUUCGCGUAUAAAAUCGCCAUUUUUUCCAUAGGGAACCAUUGGUUUACGCGCGUAUUACGCGUUUCACGCAUAUAAGCAACAUUUUACGCGCGUAUAGCGCGUAUGUGGCGUGUAUAUUUACGCGCAAUACGCGCUAUACGCGCGUAUAUCGCGUACAUUUCAAGAGUUCAAAAAAAUGAACUUUUUACGCUCAUACGCAUGACGAUUAGCCGCGUUGCCCAAUCAGCGUUGAGCUUGACCCGACGUCACUGGCAGAGAGUAGUGAGCUUGGACAGAAGCAUACGGCUGACAUCUUUCUUUAUUCUGUGUGGAAAUAGUAACAUAGUUACGCCAUUAAAUGCUUUUAUGGAAACAUUUCUAGCGAGAAAUGUGCAUUUUACUUUCAUAAUGUUCGCUCGGUGAAUGUGAAGGAUGUUUGGUUUGAUAGUUAUGACGAAGAGGGAACGCUCCGUUCACUUGCAUGGACAGAGUCUCUGGUUACUAAGCAACCUCAACGUCUUGGCGGACUAUAUAUCUGCUGAUCAACACUACGAAUGCUGGAAACACACCAGACACACCAUGUAAAGUUAUUUAACCCGAUUAUUGUUAUUUAUAUCCGAGAUUAUUUAAUCUAACCCGAUCUAAACUCUAUCACCCAAACACGGCGGCGUUUGGGUUUCCUACCUCGGACUCCAGCGCAGCCACGGCCGACAACUUUCUUUAUUCUGGGUGGAAAUAGUAACAUAGUUACGCCAUUAAAUGCUUUUAUGGAAACAUUUCUAGCGAGAAAUGUGCAUUUUACUUUCAUAAUGUUCGCUCUGUGAAUGUGAAGGAUGUUUGGUUUGAUAGUUAUGACGAAGAGGGAACGCUCCGUUCACUUGCAUGGACAUGGACUCAUCUAGGCGAGUGACGUAGGCGCGUAUGGCGCGUAUGCGACCAUUUUUGACACAAAAUGGUCAAGCAACAUUUUACGCGCGUAUCUCGCGUAAAAAUUACGCGAGAUACGCGUCUGGUGUGGCCGCACCUUGAGGAAUAUCUUUUUAAAAAAUAUUAAUAAUUA